rnacentral:rRNA from 1 species
AGGGAGCGUAGGCGGCUGAUUAAGUCAGCGGUGAAAGGUAGCAGCUUAACUGUUUUACAUGCCGUUGAUACUGGUUAGCUUGAGUUGACAGAAGGCAGAUAGAAUUCCUGGUGUAGCGGUGAAAUGCUUAGAUACCAGGAGGAAUACCGAUUGCGAAGGCAGUCUGCUGCAGUCACACUGACGCUGAGGCUCGAAGGUGCGGGGAUCAAACAGGAUUAGAUAACCCCGGU